UGUCUGUGGUCCACCAUGAUCUGUCCAGUGUGGUCAUCCUGGACAACUCGCCUGGGGCCUACCGCAGCCAUCCAGACAAUGCAAUACCCAUCAAGUCAUGGUUCAGUGAUCCCAGUGACACAGCCCUGCUAAACCUGCUACCCAUGCUAGAUGCUCUGAGAUUCACUUCAGAUGUCCGGUCCGUUCUAAGUCGAAACC